rnacentral:tRNA from 1 species
AGCUCAGUUGGUCAGAGCAGACGGCUCAUAACCGUCCGGUCGUAGGUUCGAGUCCUACAGGGU